rnacentral:rRNA from 1 species
ACGGGGCCCGCACAAGCGGUGGAGCAUGUGGUUUAAUUCGAUGCAACGCGAAGAACCUUACCUGGUCUUGACAUCCACGGAAGUUUUCAGAGAUGAGAAUGUGCCUUCGGGAACCGUGAGACAGGUGCUGCAUGGCUGUCGUCAGCUCGUGUUGUGAAAUGUUGGGUUAAGUCCCGCAACGAGCGCAACCCUUAUCCUUUGUUGCCAGCGGUCCGGCCGGGAACUCAAAGGAGACUGCCAGUGAUAAACUGGAGGAAGGUGGGAUGACGUCAAGUCAUCAUGGCCCUUACGACCAGGGCUACACACGUGCUACAAUGGCGCAUACAAAGAGAAGCGACCUCGCGAGAGCAAGCGGACCUCAUAAAGUGCGUCGUAGUCCGGAUUGGAGUCUGCAACUCGACUCCAUGAAGUCGGAAUCGCCUAGUAAUCGUGGAUCAGAAUGCCACGGUGAAUACGUUCCCGGGCCUU